UACGUAGGGUGCGAGCGUUGUCCGGAAUUAUUGGGCGUAAAGAGCUUGUAGGCGGUUUGUCGCGUCUGCUGUGAAAAUCCGGGGCUCAACCCCGGACUUGCAGUGGGUACGGGCAGACUAGAGUGUGGUAGGGGAGACUGGAAUUCCUGGUGUAGCGGUGGAAUGCGCAGAUAUCAGGAGGAACACCGGUGGCGAAGGCGGGUCUCUGGGCCGUUACUGACGCUGAGGAGCGAAAGCGUGGGGAGCGAACAGG
rnacentral:rRNA from 1 species